AACGAACGCUGGCGGCAGGCUUAACACAUGCAAGUCGAACGCCCCGCAAGGGGAGUGGCAGACGGGUGAGUAACGCGUGGGAACGUACCUUUCAGUUCGGAAUAACUCAGGGAAACUUGUGCUAAUACCGGAUACGCUCGCAAGAGGAAAGAUUUAUCGCUGAAAGAUCGGCCCGCGUUGGAUUAGCUAGUUGGUGGGGUAAUGGCCUACCAAGGCGACGAUCCAUAGCUGGUCUGAGAGGAUGAUCAGCCACACUGGGACUGAGACACGGCCCAGACUCCUACGGGAGGCAGCAGUGGGGAAUAUUGGACAAUGGGCGAAAGCCUGAUCCAGCCAUGCCGCGUGAGUGAUGAAGGCCCUAGGGUUGUAAAGCUCUUUCACCGAUGAAGAUAAUGACGGUAGUCGGAGAAGAAGCCCCGGCUAACUUCGUGCCAGCCGCCGCAGUAA
rnacentral:rRNA from 1 species